rnacentral:tRNA from 1 species
GCGGCUGUGGUGUAGUGGAAGCACGAGAGCCUUCCAAGCUCUUAGCCUGGGUUCAAAUCCCAGCAGCCGCG